rnacentral:rRNA from 1 species
GUGUCAGCAGCCGCGGUAAUACGUAGGGGGCAAGCGUUGUUCGGAAUUACUGGGCGUAAAGCGCGCGUAGGCGGUUUGGAAAGUCAGAUGUGAAAGCCCCGGGCUCAACUUGGGAACUGCAUUUGAUACUGCCAGACUAGAGUACAGAAGAGGUGACUGGAAUUCCCAGUGUAGCGGUGAAAUGCGUAGAUAUUGGGAGGAACACCAGAUGCGAAGGCGGGUCACUGGGCUGAUACUGACGCUGAAGUGCGAAAGCCAGGGGAGCGAACGGGAUUAGAUACCCCUGUAGUCC